GCAGACAAUCUGUGGAAGAAGACCAUUCAAGAGGGAGAGAAUGGGAUUCCUGCUGUCAUGUAAGAAAAGCUGGCUACUGUGUUGGGAUCCUGCUGGCAUCUGUCUUGGGCAUUUUCUCCAAAUCAGUGGAGCUGAGGUGCAUUUGGUCAUCUGCACCUCUGUGUGGCUGGAGAGGCCCUUCAGAGAGAUGCAAGGACAGGAGUUGUGCUGCGUCCAUGGAGACUGA
rnacentral:lncRNA from 1 species